GAGGUUAUAGCUCAAUGGUAGAGUGCAUGCUUAGCAUUCAAGAUGUCCUGGGUUCAAUCCCCAGUGCCGCUG
rnacentral:tRNA from 1 species